CCGGCGAUGUCCGAAUGGGGAAACCCAGUGCAAUUCGUUGCACUAUCGUUAACUGAAUACAUAGGUUAACGAGGCGAACCGGGGGAACUGAAACAUCUAAGUACCCCGAGGAAAAGAAAUCAACCGAGAUUCCCCCAGUAGCGGCGAGCGAACGGGGAGCAGCCCAGAGUCUGAAUCAGCUUGUGUGUUAGUGGAACGGUCUGGAAAGUCCGACGGUACAGGGUGAUAGUCCCGUACACCAAAAUGCACAGGUUGUGAACUCGAAGAGUAGGGCGGGACACGUGGUAUCCUGUCUGAAUAUGGGGGGACCAUCCUCCAAGGCUAAAUACUCCUGACUGACCGAUAGUGAACCAGUACCGUGAGGGAAAGGCGAAAAGAACCCCGGCGAGGGGAGUGAAAAAGAACCUGAAACCGUGUACGUACAAGCAGUGGGAGCACCUUCGGGUGUGACUGCGUACCUUUUGUAUAAUGGGUCAGCGACUUAUAUUCUGUAGCAAGGUUAACCGUAUAGGGGAGCCGCAGGGAAACCGAGUCUUAACUGGGCGUUAAGUUGCAGGGUAUAGACCCGAAACCCGGUGAUCUAGCCAUGGGCAGGUUGAAGGUUGGGUAACACUAACUGGAGGACCGAACCGACUAAUGUUGAAAAAUUAGCGGAUGACUUGUGGCUGGGGGUGAAAGGCCAAUCAAACCGGGAGAUAGCUGGUUCUCCCCGAAAGCUAUUUAGGUAGCGCCUCGUGAACUCAUCUUCGGGGGUAGAGCACUGUUUCGGCUAGGGGGUCAUCCCGACUUACCAACCCGAUGCAAACUACGAAUACCGAAGAAUGUUAUCACGGGAGACACACGGCGGGUGCUAACGUCCGUCGUGAAGAGGGAAACAACCCAGACCGCCAGCUAAGGUCCCAAAGUCAUGGUUAAGUGGGAAACGAUGUGGGAAGGCACAGACAGCCAGGAUGUUGGCUUAGAAGCAGCCAUCAUUUAAAGAAAGCGUAAUAGCUCACUGGUCGAGUCGGCCUGCGCGGAAGAUGUAACGGGGCUAAACCAUGCACCGAAGCUGCGGCAGCGACACUAUGUGUUGUUGGGUAGGGGAGCGUUCUGUAAGCCUGCGAAGGUGUGCUGUGAGGCAUGCUGGAGGUAUCAGAAGUGCGAAUGCUGACAUAAGUAACGAUAAAGCGGGUGAAAAGCCCGCUCGCCGGAAGACCAAGGGUUCCUGUCCAACGUUAAUCGGGGCAGGGUGAGUCGACCCCUAAGGCGAGGCCGAAAGGCGUAGUCGAUGGGAAACAGGUUAAUAUUCCUGUACUUGGUGUUACUGCGAAGGGGGGACGGAGAAGGCUAUGUUAGCCGGGCGACGGUUGUCCCGGUUUAAGCAUGUAGGCUGGUUAUCCAGGCAAAUCCGGAUAAUCAAGGCUGAGGUGUGAUGACGAGGCACUACGGUGCUGAAGUAACAAAUGCCCUGCUUCCAGGAAAAGCCUCUAAGCAUCAGGUAACAUCAAAUCGUACCCCAAACCGACACAGGUGGUCAGGUAGAGAAUACCAAGGCGCUUGAGAGAACUCGGGUGAAGGAACUAGGCAAAAUGGUGCCGUAACUUCGGGAGAAGGCACGCUGGUGUGUAGGUGAAGCCCCUGCGGGUGGAGCUGAGACCAGUCGAAGAUACCAGCUGGCUGCAACUGUUUAUUAAAAACACAGCACUGUGCAAACACGAAAGUGGACGUAUACGGUGUGACGCCUGCCCGGUGCCGGAAGGUUAAUUGAUGGGGUUAUCCGUAAGGAGAAGCUCUUGAUCGAAGCCCCGGUAAACGGCGGCCGUAACUAUAACGGUCCUAAGGUAGCGAAAUUCCUUGUCGGGUAAGUUCCGACCUGCACGAAUGGCGUAAUGAUGGCCAGGCUGUCUCCACCCGAGACUCAGUGAAAUUGAACUCGCUGUGAAGAUGCAGUGUACCCGCGGCAAGACGGAAAGACCCCGUGAACCUUUACUAUAGCUUGACACUGAACAUUGAGCCUUGAUGUGUAGGAUAGGUGGGAGGCUUUGAAGCGUGGACGCCAGUCUGCGUGGAGCCAACCUUGAAAUACCACCCUUUAAUGUUUGAUGUUCUAACGUUGGCCCCUGACCGGGGUUGCGGACAGUGUCUGGUGGGUAGUUUGACUGGGGCGGUCUCCUCCCAAAGCGUAACGGAGGAGCACGAAGGUUAGCUAAUCCUGGUCGGACAUCAGGAGGUUAGUGCAAUGGCAUAAGCUAGCUUGACUGCGAGCGUGACGGCGCGAGCAGGUGCGAAAGCAGGUCAUAGUGAUCCGGUGGUUCUGAAUGGAAGGGCCAUCGCUCAACGGAUAAAAGGUACUCCGGGGAUAACAGGCUGAUACCGCCCAAGAGUUCAUAUCGACGGCGGUGUUUGGCACCUCGAUGUCGGCUCAUCACAUCCUGGGGCUGAAGUAGGUCCCAAGGGUAUGGCUGUUCGCCAUUUAAAGUGGUACGCGAGCUGGGUUUAGAACGUCGUGAGACAGUUCGGUCCCUAUCUGCCGUGGGCGCUGGAGAAUUGAGGGGGGCUGCUCCUAGUACGAGAGGACCGGAGUGGACGCAUCACUGGUGUUCGGGUUGUCAUGCCAAUGGCACUGCCCGGUAGCUAAAUGCGGAAGAGAUAAGUGCUGAAAGCAUCUAAGCACGAAACUUGCCCCGAGAUGAGUUCUCCCUGAGACUUUAAGUCUCCUGAAGGAACGUU
rnacentral:rRNA from 1 species